rnacentral:rRNA from 1 species
UCCCUUAGUAACUGCGAGUGAACAGGGAAGAGCUCAAAUUUAAAAUCUGGCGGUCGUUUUGGCUGUCCGAGUUGUAAAUUAGAGAAGUGUUACCCGUGCUGGACUGUGUACAAGUCUCCUGGAAUGGAGCGUCAUAGAGGGUGAGAAUCCCGUCUUUGACACAGACUACUAGUACAUUGUGGUACACUCUCAAAGAGUCGUGUUGUUUGGGAAUGCAGCACUAAAUGGGUGGUAAAUUCCAUCUAAAGCUAAAUAUAGGCGAGAGACCGAUAGCAAACAAGUACCGUGAGGGAAAGAUGAAAAGAACUUUGGAAAGAGAGUUAAACAGUACGUGAAAUUGUUGAAAGGGAAACGCUUAAAGUCCAGUCGCGUUGGUUGACAAUCAGUCUUGCAAUUUAUUGCUUGAUGUACUUGUUAAUUGAUGGGUCAACAUCAGUUUUGACCGUUGGAUAAAGGUUGAAGGAAUGUGGCAUUCACUUGUGGAUGUGUUAUAGCCUUUGAUUGUAUACAACGGUUGGGACUGAGGAACUCAGUGUGCCUUUAGUGGCUGGGUACUUGUACCACACUUCACACUUAGGAUGUUGGCAUAAUGGCUUUAAUCGACCCGUCUUGAAACACGGACCAAGGAGUCUAACAUGCAUGCAAGUAUUUGGGUGGAAAACCCAAGUGCGUAAUGAAAGUGAAAGUYAAGAACUCGUUAGAGUGCACUGACGCCCAGACCUGAUGUUUACUGACGGUUCUGCGGUAGAGCAUGUACGUUGGGACCCGAAAGAUGGUGAACUAUGCCUGAAUAGGGUGAAGCCAGAGGAAACUCUGGUGGAAGCUCGUAGCGAUNCUGACGUGCAAAUCGAUCGUCGAAUUUGGGUAUAGGGGCGAAAGA